rnacentral:lncRNA from 1 species
CAGAGAGACUGUCUGAAGAUAAGCCUAGAAUGAAAAGUACACAGUACUACCUGACAUUUGUGGUCACCGUAAAAACAGGUUCACUAAAUAAUAGCCUACUUAUGUUGCCAGUUGCUGGAAUUGUUCCAGAGCAGCUUAAAUUGUAAAAGUCCACCUGACAGCUCUCAGGAACCAAGGUAUGUGGAUGGUUGUAACAACAUCAAGGCUUUGAAUGUACCCCUAAUAUUUUGACUUAUUAUGAGCUUUAACGGAAAGCCAAUGAUCAAGGCAAGUGAUAGUUGAUGGUGUCCUUCACUUCUAGACAGAAAGUUCUGGAAAGACACCAGACUUUUUGCUUAUCCACAUAGAAUUGUUUGUGGACUUAAUGUAAGAAUCACACAGGGAAAUCUCCGUUCUUUAUUAUUCAGAAGAUCAGAUUUGGUGAUUACGG